rfam:Ixodes scapularis strain Wikel colony gcontig_1108378661908, whole genome shotgun sequence.
GCAGUCGUGGCCUAGAAGGUGAUGGACUAGAAAUCCACUGGGGUAUCCCCGCACAGAUUCAAAUCCUGUCAACUGCA